rnacentral:tRNA from 1 species
GCCUAGUUAGCUUGGUUGGUAGCGCGUGUGCCUCGUAAGUGCUAGGCCGCGGGUUCGCUUCCCGUCCGAGGCA